AGUAUUUGUAUGCUAUGCCUCUUGUUUGGAUUCUAGAAACAAUAGCUUCACUCCAUUGUAUAAAGUCAGCAGCUUGUUUCAUAAACAGAGAGGAACGUCGAGUUAUGAUUUUUAUCACUCCGAUAGUGUUCGAUAAUUUAUUAAUGUUUCUAACAUGCAGUCUUAUUCAUUCGAAGGAAACUAGUACUCGUGAUUAUUAUUGUUAUUAUUAUAGCUCCUUUCCUAUAUCUAUAUGUUACAUGAACUAGAAAAGCCGGCACUAAAAAAGAGAACCUUGAGGAGAUCCUUCCAUGGUAGUUGUUCUGAUGUCGUUGUAGUGCUUUUGUGGAUCUGUAUGGUUCACCUUGAGAUGGCUCUAGUGUUCUCACGACUAACUCAUGAAGAAGAAGACCGUGAAUCCGCAGGUAACAAUCAUCACUGUUUACUUCAUCUGCUCACGGGUUUCCAGAUUUUUACCAGGGAGAAUUCCUUCAUCUGUUAGUUUUCCUUGAUUUCUUGUGUAAGGUUGCACCAUCUAAAUUUGACAAAGAGUUGGGAUUUGGUAUUUGGUUAGGGAAAGCAGCGCACGAUGGAGGGACAGAUUGUGGGGAACAAUUUUCCGUUGGAAUGAAAGGUGCAGAGUUUUGCAUUGGCAUUAGUCCAGGAUGGUUAAGAAACCUUAGCAUAUCUGCUGAAUCAUUAAUCCCAGGCAAGCCAGCUCCUAGAACAUGUGCAGGCAGAAACUGUUGUUCGCCCAUUUGCAUUCCCACACCCAUUGCUAGACCCAUCUGAGAGUAGUUCGGCCCCAAAGGCAUCAUCAUUGAUGGUGUAACAAAUCUGUUACCCAUCGUCAUCAUCUACCAUCCAACAUUUAUACAGGAACUUGUGGCCUCGCAUCAUCUGACUCGUCAUCUAGACUCUGCGUUGAGACAAAACCUGUCUUCAGACAAGAACCUAACAAGAUAGACCAAACCAAAAAAAUUGUGAAUCAAUCCCUCUUACACUGCUUAGAUACAUCGAUCCUUCACUGUCUUCAGUGAAACCUACGGAGGAAGUGUCAAAGCCCAAUUUGAACGACCUAUCAGCAACCACGGAUUGCUCAUCAGGAGCAACAUGACUUUGUGGAACAACCUGCGUGUCCCCGAGAUUUGUGAUGGCACCACCACCACCAUGGAUGAUACUCUUCAUGAAAUCCUCGUUAUACUCUGCCUCAUACAAAUCCAUGAUCGAUUUGGUACGUUGAUUAUGCAGAGAAACGUUGGAUCUUUGGCCCUUUGCAAGAAUCUGGCCAUUCUCAAACACAAGCUCCAUAUACUCUUGAUCGCUUAACCUGCAACAAUAAUCGGUUGGUAAGAACAUCAUCGUCUGCACACAAACACACACAUAUAUAUAUAUAUAUAUAUAUAUAUAUAUAUAUGUGUGUGAAACAGGGAAACAAGAUUGAAGAACUUAAUUUGGUCUGAAGGUGGAUGAUGGGGAAGUCAUAUUUUGUUGUCUUGUUGAAUGUUCCAAAAGUUAUUUCUUCAGUGGAAGUAAGUGAAAGCUAAUCUUUCUUUUGUUGAUCAACUUCAGACUCUUUUGCUCUUAUUUUAUAUUUCGCUUUUCUUUCCUUUUCAUUUUUUUGGUAUUAUUAUCUCUUUCACCUGUUUUUAAUUAUUUUUUCAGGUGCAAUGAAUUUCCUGUUGUACAGUACCACUGUUUAUAUAAGUCGAAUCUUAGCAUCUUUGAGAUUUUUUUUUUGAUACUUUAUUGUGCCUUUAUAAAUUAUAAAAAGAUUAUUUAA
rnacentral:lncRNA from 1 species